UACGUAGGGGGCUAGCGUUGUCCGGAUUUAUUGGGCGUAAAGAGCGUGUAGGCGGCUUUACAGGUCCGUUGUGAAAACUCGAGGCUCAACCUCGAGACGCCGGUGGAAACCGUAAGGCUAGAGUCCGGAAGAGGAGAGUGGAAUUCCUGGUGUAGCGGUGAAAUGCGCAGAUAUCAGGAGGAACACCCGUGGCGAAAGCGGCUAUCUGGACGGUUUCUGACACUAAGACUCGAAAGCGUGGGGAGCAAACAGG
rnacentral:rRNA from 1 species